GCCGGGUGUGGUGGUGCAUGCCUGUAAUCCCAGCUACUCAGGAGGCUGAGGCAGGAGAAUUGCUUGAACCCAGGCAGCAGAGGUUGCAGUGAGCCCAGAUCAGGCCACUGCACUCCAACCUGGGUGACAAAGUGAAACUCUGUCUCAA
rnacentral:SRP_RNA from 1 species